rnacentral:rRNA from 1 species
AUUGAACGCUGGCGGCAGGCCUAACACAUGCAAGUCGAACGAGUGGCGGACGGGUGAGUAAUGUCUGGGAAACUGCCCGAUGGAGGGGGAUAACUACUGGCAACGGUAGCUAAUACCGCAUACCAUCGGAUUGGCCCAGAUGGGAGUAGCUAGUAGGUGGGUUAAUGGCUCACCUAGGCGACGAUCCCUAGCUGGUCUGAGAGGAUGACCAGCCACACUGGAACUGAGACACGGUCCAGACUCCUACGGGAGGCAGCAGUGGGGAAUAUUGCACAAUGGGCGCAAGCCUGAUGCAGCCAUGCCGCGUGUAUGAAGAAGGCCGUCGGGUGGUAAAGUACUUUCAGCGAGGAGGCGUUACUCGCAGAAGAAGCACCGGCUAACUCCGUGCCAGCAGCCGCGGUAAUAC